rnacentral:misc_RNA from 1 species
GGAAGUAAAAGUCGUAACGAGGUUUCCGUAGGUGAACCUGCGGAAGGAUCAUUAUUGUAUAACCGAGGUGCGAGGGCUGUCGCUGACCCGAAAGGUCGUGCACGCCCGAGUGCCCUCACACACAUCCAUCUCUCCCCUAUGUGCACCACCGCGUGGGUCCCCCUUUGGCUUGUUCGGAGGGGGGCUUACGUUUUCACACAAACUUUGUAUGCAGUGUAGAAUGUAUUUUUUGUUUUUGCGAUCACGCAAUCAAUACAACUUUCAACAACGGAUCUCUUGGCUCUC